CAUGAGUGAAAACAGAUUUUUUUUCUGCAAUCAUCAAUUUUAUUUCCAAUACAUCAGGUGUCAGAAAUAACAUACAGGAAAUCAUUGAAAUAAUUACGAAUUUCACGGAGGUGAAAACAAAGUGUACACUGACACAAGCUGUAGUGACUGUAAGUCGCAUAACUUUUACAGCAGGACAGUUUGUUAAGCUAUUUAAGUCAGAGACAGCAUUAUGGCUGAUAAUAAAGCUUUAGCAUGUAUUUAAGUUUUAUAUUGCUAUUUAAAAAUUUGGGAAGGGAUGUUAUGGAUGCAUUGCUCCUUGCUCAUAGCUGAGGCUUUGGAAAAAAAAAUCUUACUGGAUCCAAGUUUUUUUCAAUUGUUGCUGUGAAAGGUUCGAAAGAAAAGAUAAUUAUAUGAAAUUACAAGGUAUUAUUUUGGCUUUGUUCCUUCAUCGUAUUGUGUAUAAUUCCAAACACAAAAGGUGCCCAAGUAUGAUCAUUACGGCAGCAUUGCCACAUUGAACGGAUUGCUGAUAACAUUAUUAAAGCUGAGAAGACAUUGAAUCUGAGAGAAAGAAGUAUCCGUGUGUGUAUGAGUGAGUGUAUGUGUGUGUCUGUGCAUGUUUGUCUAUUUUUGAGCCAUGUAGAUGGCGAAGCAGACGUUGCUGACCUCUGGUCCAGGGCCAGGCUGUUCUUCUUGUUAUAUGAUACUGACAUUUGUACAUCUCACACUGAUUGGCUGUCCUGAGAAAUUACAGCUGACAUGACACCUGAGGCCCCGCUUUACUAAAAAUGUAUUUCAUAUAGAAUUCCAGUCAGCUCAGUCUGAAUUGUCCACCAGCACUUGGAGGGCCUUAAUUCCCACAAGUUGUUAUGUGUGCCUGCUUUUAGCUAAGGCUGUGCUGAGCUGAGCAAAUCCUACCAUCAUACUGUAUUUCACCAGGGUCUAGAGAUGGGGGUGUUUCCUCUGUGUGUUACAGUUAUCUGGGCUCUCCUGCUCUUUAUGGUUGAGGUGAAGGUAAUCAUUGUUACACAUGGAAACCCAAGGCCCGCUGGUAGAGAAACGGCACCCCAGGGAGACAGUGGAGAGGAAGAUCUGGUGUGCAGUGCUUCGACCAGGCAUGCACUUGCAGUCACAGAAGAAGAAGACAGAUACACACACAUAUUUCCUGUUAACCCAGGCCUGGUCUGUGUGCACACGCUGGGACAGCAGGGAUUGUAGAAAAGCAUGAAGUGAUAUCUUCACGUUGGCAAAACAACACACUCUCUCAAGCAACGAAUCAGUGAGCACAAAAGUUAUAAGGGAAGUGAAGGGACAGUCAACGAGAGAGAAAGAGCUGAAAGCCACAAACAGCUGUUUCUACGCGCCUCCCCCUGCUGAUUUUGACAGAGAAUCGUUCAUAAUUUCAAAAAACAUUUAGCACUGUGCUAGUGCUACAUUCUUAUGUGAGUGCUCUGAUUAAUAAAUGCAUUCUUUGAUUUUGAAACAGUGGCCUUAUGUUAUUAUUUAGCCUUUCUGGGGCUGUUGCAUGGAUAAACCAAUUUUAUGAAAGAAAAUGGCCCUUUUGCAAUUUUUGGCUGCCCCCUCAGUCACUUCAUCCUGGUCCGCUGUCAGACCCGUUGAAAGCCACUGUCAGGUGUAUCGUAGCAAUGCUGUCACUCACACUCGUGAGUCAUGACCAAUGAGAAGCGCAAUCUCUGUUUGGGUAGUGGAACAUAACAUGACAGAUAGGCUAAGGGAUAACAGAGCAGGAGGGUUUCCUUCAAUCUCAUACAAAUUGCCCUGUCUUAAUAGUCUAACCUGUAAUAUUUCUCUCCCAUAGACUUGCACUGAAUUUAUUUUCAAAAAUACGGAACAAAGCACGUCCCGUUCAUCAGUUCAAUGCGGAACACAUCAGUUUCCAAUUAUGGGACGAUUCCAUAUUUUAUGGGAUGUCGGCAGUCCUAGACUUAUGCAUGCUGGCAGAAUGCUCUGCACACAUAUUGCCCUGCUAGACCUGAAGUCUGCUGCAUAAUUUCUAAAAUCUGAGCUAAUGUUUUCUUUUUUGGGGGGGAUAGCAACAUAUAUCUGCUCCAAGUUCAUCAAAAUUACGUGGCGGCAAUGAUUCCAAGAGAUAAAAGAGAUUCCCACUUGAAAAAUAUAUCCAGGAGUACAAAAAGAACCAGUGCUGGGCUCCAGGCAUCUACAGACAGAGUUUUUCUCUGAUAUUAAAAUUUCAACAAGAUGCAGACACAGAGAACAUCCUGUACCUGCAAAGAUAUACUACCAUCUUUAUUAUCCUCUACUGUAUAUCAAACAUGUAUUGCCAGUUACGUUCCUUUCUUGUGAGAAAAUGUCAUGAUAACCUAGCUGCCUUGAGAGCUGGCCAGAUUGAAUCUUUGCUGCCCCAUUCUCAAACCCAACCUCCUUCCCAGGGUGAAGCUCCGGCAGCUCCAUCUUUGUCAUGUAGGCCAGGACACUUAACAAAACCUGGCCAAAUAAAGAACAUGGGUGGACAGAGAAAUAAAGGACACUUUGACACUUCACAGCCACAGAAAUUAGUGUUCUCCAGUGCUAUUUAGUACUGUAUAACUACUACCAUAAUGAUGACUGCACUACUGGACACUUCCAGACUUCUUCCAGAGUUUUUCUUUAGUUUGUCUUUUAAACAUAUCGUAAAUAAGCCAGUAUCCCCAAGACAAACUUAUGUACUUGAACAUGGCAAAUAAAGUGAUUUUGAUUCUGGGCAGACACCAGUCAGACAGACAGAAUAGCAGAAUAGAGUUGGGAAGGGAAGGACAGGAGGGAGAUACAAUCACAGAUGUCUGCUGAAUUCUUUCAGGGGCCUGAACUUUUAGGAACUCUAUCAUAAAAGAAAAUGAAAAAUGUUACCCUGCCUUUCUCUGUCACAGUCUCUCCGAUCUCACCAGUCCCUCCUAGCCCCAAAU